rnacentral:rRNA from 1 species
GAUGAACGCUGGCGGCGUGCCUAAUACAUGCAAGUCGAGCGAACAGACGAGGAGCUUGCUCCUCUGACGUUAGCGGCGGACGGGUGAGUAACACGUGGAUAACCUACCUAUAAGACUGGGAUAACUUCGGGAAACCGGAGCUAAUACCGGAUAAUAUAUUGAACCGCAUGGCUCAAUAGUGAAAGACGGUUUUGCUGUCACUUAUAGAUGGAUCCGCGCCGCAUUAGCUAGUUGGUAAGGUAACGGCUUACCAAGGCGACGAUGCGUAGCCGACCUGAGAGGGUGAUAGGCAAAAGUGGGAAUGAGACAAGGCCGAGAAUCCGACGGGAGGCAGCAGUAGGGAAUUUUGAGCAAUGGGGGAAAGCAUGAAGGAGCAAUGCCGAGUGAAGGAUGAAGGUAUUAGGAUAGUAAAAUGUUGUUAUAAGGGAAGAAAAAAUGUCUAAGUAAACAGGAGGGUCAUGACGGUAACGUAUAAGAAAGCAACGGCUAACUAAGUG